rnacentral:misc_RNA from 1 species
GUGUAUACAUCAUGCUCCGGUUAUUGGUUCUCUUGGGACUUUUCUCUGUUUUGCAGUGUGAUUUUUUCAGUGCUUUAUAUAAAUUACAGGACCUCUUAAGAGAAGAGGAGAAAUUACAAUUAGAUUUGAGUAGAUAUAUCAGUAGUGUUCAGGAGAAUGAGCAGGAUGUUCCCUUAGAAAUAUUAAGAUUUCAAUUUUACUGUUCAGCUGGUGAGCAAGCGUCUUGGUCUGUGGCCCUCGUCCUAUGAUUUAGACGGUGCAUCCAGCGCUCUCCUCCGACUCUGGAAGGUGUACAAGCUAGAUCUCAAUGAAUUUAUCAAUGGCAUUGUCCAAACAUACACUGCAGACCAACCUAUGUCUGAUGACGAGGUGUUGACCGUAGCGAAGUUCGCGGACAGUGUCAAGGACGACUACUCAGAAAUGAGAUGGUUGAAAGCUUUGUACAAAAGAUUACAAACACAGGAUGGGUUCUCCCACAGCCAGACCACUGUGAUUCGUGUUGCGCGGUCACUAGCAGCGUCUUUCUACAAACUAGGUUUUCCAAAGAAAGGGAUUUUUAUUUUGGAACCUUUCCAAAGUUUAGAAAAUCGGGAUAUAAACAGUGACGUAGCAUUUUAUCUGUCCAAUGCGACCAGCGACGAAAACGAGACCAUUCCAGAACCAGCAACAGAGGAUGCAAUGUAUGAAGCUCUAUGUCGUGAGGAACAAAAAAGUCUACAUGAGCUAGCCAAGCUUCGAUGCUUUUUAAGGGAUACUGUUAUACCUUAUUACAAAGCAAAAGAGGAAGUGGUCAAUUACGAACCAAGGAUUGCCAUUUUUCAUGACGUCAUCUCUCCCACCAGUAUUGAACAUCUAAAAUCAAUUGCCUCCAAGGGACUAACCAGAUCCACCGUUUUUCUAGAGAAUACUGGGCCAAAUGGACAAGUAACGAUAACGUAUGGAAAACAAGAUAACAUACGCGUGAGUCAAACUUGUUGGGUUCGUACUGAUGAAUAUCCAGAGCUAUCGCGACUAGAGAAUCGAAUCCAACUUAUAACAGGACUUAGUGCUGAGUACAAGCCAGUUAGAAGUCACUCUGAGAAAUUCCAGGUAGUGAAUUAUGGAGUAGGAGGCAUGUACACAGCUCAUCAUGAUUAUACGGAGUACAAGCUGGGGAUAAUAUCUAAUCCGAUGGAUUCUGAGGACAUCAGUACUUCUGGCGAUAGGAUGGCGACCUGGAUGUUUUAUGUUUGUUUUCCAAAAACAACAGGAGUUUUAUGAAAAUAAUUUGGUCGUUUCAAUAAAAUACUUUUAGUGUAUGUUAAACAUUGAAAUAAAAAUAAACAGCUCAUUGCAUUUGCACAGAUGAAUGACGUCAAAGCUGGUGGCGCCACAGUAUUUCCGGAAGUAAGAACAAGAAUACCAGUUGCCAAGGGAGGAGCGGCGUUUUGGUUUAACUUGAGGCCGAGUGGAGCGACAGAUCCCCGAACGUUACAUGGGGGAUGUCCAGUCUUAGUUGGGUCCAAAUGGGUGACCAACAAGUGGAUUCGUGAAGAGGGACAAAUGGACCGAAGAUUAUGUGGUCUAACCGAAGAUGCUGUUGAAGACUUUCCGAAAAUUUGACGAGUACAUUGUACCAAUUUACCUGCAUUGAAGUUAUACUGAUUAAAUCAAUUUAUUAUCAUAUUUCAAAUGUUGAAAUUCAAUUGUAAAUUAGUGAAAGUAAUUAACUGAACACAAUUCAAAGUAAGAACAUGCUAUACACAUGUUUUACACCCUGCCAAAGAAUUAUUGAAAAAUUAUUGAAACUUUAUUUUGAUUAAUGUACAUGUAUUUUGAGCUGAAGAAAAUUUAAACUAACAC